AGCGGAGCAUGUGGUUUAAUUCGAAGCAACGCGAAAGAACCUUACCAGAUCUUGACAUCCAAUUGACCAUCUUUUAAUCGAGAUUUUGCCUUCGGGUACAAUUGAGACAGGUGGUGCAUGGUUGUCGUCAGCUCGUGUCGUGAGAUGUUGGGUUAAGUCCCGCAACGAGCGCAACCCUUGUGUUUAGUUGCAAACAAGGUCAAGCUGUGCACUCUAGACAGACUGCCGUGGACAACACGGAGGAAGGUGGGGAUGACGUCAAAUCAUCAUGCCCCUUAUGAUCUGGGCUACACACGUGCUACAAUGGCCGGUACAACGGGCAGCGAAGGAGCGAUCCGGAGCGAAUCCUAAAAAGCCGGUCCCAGUUCGGAUUGCAGGCUGAAACUCGCCUACAUGAAGUUGGAGUUGCUAGUAAUCGCGAAUCAGAAUGUCGCGGUGAAUGCGUUCCCGGGUCUU
rnacentral:rRNA from 1 species